AGUCGCGGCGGCCCUACGCUGGGUCGGGGAAGCGUUCUAGGCUGGGCGCGCGGUCUCGGGUCAGGUGUGGCGGGGAGUCCUCAGGAGACGCCCACCCUGGGCGGGGGCGAAGACAGAGCGCCUGCUUAGUCCAACCUGGGGGCGGCCCAGAGCUUCGGAAGCCGUUCACUCCGCUACCUACCCCAGCCUCACCCCACCUGGGUGACCCUCCCACCUCAACAUCUCCAACCGCUCCACUAGGGCUGCCGGCUCCCGCGUGCCCCUCGUCCUUGGGUCUGCAGCGGCCACUUCCAGUUUGGGGUGCUGCAGGAGGUCCUGAGAGUAGGGGGUCCGCGGGGAGGUGGAGGCAGAUUGGCCACACUCCUUCAGCUGCCGAGGAGAGGGGUCUGCAGAGGACGAGGUAGUUGUCCUCCUGGAAGAAAUUGGUCCUCUUCGGAUUUUGGAGCAGUAUCCGAGUCAAAUUAUUUAUGCUCAGUUGCUAAAUCUGUGUCAUGCUGCGAUGUUUAAUCAGUCUUUAAUGUUUUUACGUUUCCACUGAAUAUUUUUUAGGAUGCCUGAAUAUUUCUCCCCUACUAUUUUGUUCUUUUUCCUGGCGCCCGUCUUACUAAAAUUAGUGUACCUGUGCAGCUUCUACAGACCUUAAACCCAGGCUUUAAAUUUUUCGUAAUUUUCCUGAUCCUGAGAAGGGUCAGAGUCUUUAUUCAUAAAUCCAUAGAAACAAGGGAAAAAAUAGAUGCUUCAAAUCCUCUGCAUUACAAGUGGAACACACAGCCAAUUGCCUCUCUUAUGGAGCUAGAUUGUAUUUUAAACUACAGUUUUGAUUAUAUUCCUUUUAAAAGACUAUUUAAAUCUUUAAAUAUACUAGUGUUUUCCAUUUUUUAUUAUAUUCCUUUUAAAAUAAUAUUUAAAUCUUUAAGUUUACUAGUGUUUUCCAUUUUUCUGUAAAGUAGAGAAAGAACAAUUUCAGC
rnacentral:lncRNA from 1 species